CCUCUCCCCAACUCACAAAAUCUUUUAGGCCCAAAAUUCCUCUCUUCAUCACCUUCUCUACCGAGAGAAAGUCGGCGCAGUCAGAACAACAAAGAUCAACAUGAGGAAUUUGGUAGAUGGUCUAGACUAUCGGCUCUCGCCUUUGUUGACAAACUAAUGUAAAAUGAGAAGAAUGAGGUGAUUGUUGUAGAAAAUUACUCCAAUGGAUCAAAGGAUAAUCUAAAGCAAUGGAUUGAUCAUCCAAGAUUUGAGCUAAUUCGUGAAGUGUUACUGAUACAAAUACUAAUGGAAUUCAUGUCUGGAAAUUUGAUUAAGUCCCUUAACAAAUUAGACGUUGAACUUAGUGAUGUGGAGAGCGAGUCUACUUCCCCUCAUGGAUGUAAGAGUAGCAUCAAGCUAUAACAAUGUAAAUCACCAAGCAAGUACAUUGCACUUUGUAUAUUUAUUUAUUGAGGAUGAGGAUCUACUCUUUAUAGUAUAAUGUUUAAGUUAUCAUACAUUUAUUUGUAUAAUUUUAGUUUGAUGUGAAUUUAAAAUUAUGAUGUUUGUUAGUAUUGAUAUUUUUAAUGGAA